AUUGAACGCUGGCGGCAGGCCUAACACAUGCAAGUCGAGCGGCACGGGGGACGGGUGGGUAAUGCCUAGGAAUCUGCCUGGUAGUGGGGGAUAACGUCCGGAAACGGGCGCUAAUACAGCAUGCUAUCUGAUGAGCCUAGGUCGGAUGAGCUAGUGGGGGGGGUAAAGGCGUACCAAGGCGACGAUCCGUAACUGGUCUGAGAGGAUGAUCAGUCACACUGGAACUGAGACACGGUCCAGACUCCUACGGGAGGCAGCAGUGGGGAAUAUUGGACAAGGGGCGAAAGCCUGAUCCAGCCAUGCCGCGUGUGUGAAGAAGGUCUUCGGAUUGUAAAGCACUUUAAGUUGGGAGGCGUUACCAACAGAAUAAGCACCGGCUAACUUCGUGCCAGCAGCCGCGGUAAUAC
rnacentral:rRNA from 1 species